UACUAACCUGCAGUUAUGUAGUAAAGCACACGAUUGUGUCGCAGUUGCAUUGCCGACCAAAUAGAUCACGUGGCCACACACACACACACACGUUCCCAGUUCCCAGAAGAGCGGAUUCCAUAAUGCUUUUUUUACGCAUGCGCGUUACCGGGCGACAUUCGUUCCACUCGUUCACGCGCGGGACGAACGGGCUCUAAUCCCGGAAAACGAGCGGGAUACGUCGCCGACGUGAAGUCCAAGCGAGAUUUGGUAAACCCGGAUCGGACCGGCCGUGUGUCGCGGCUCGAACUGUUCACGGAUGCGCACCCAUUCUCAUCGGACGUUCUAAACCGAGGAAAGAAGGAUGGCUAGAAUCUCCACUGGAGGGAUGGAAGCGCAUGUGAUAGAGUCUGGAAGGGGAAGCACUGAACAGACGGCAGCCAUGAUGGCACGAACAGGCCAAUCGCUGCAUCGCUUCGUACUGUUACUGCAUAAUGGCCGCGCAGCUCCGCCCAAUGUAAAACUCGAUGGACGUUACGCUUAUUGGACACGAAAGCGUUAAAAAUUUUAUUGCGUGCCUGACAGUUACACCCCGCUUUUGAAACUGUCCCCUACUACGAUUUCCAUCUUCCUCCCUAACUAAUCCUAAAAACCGGCACAAAGAUCUGUAAAAGCUAUAUUUUCUUUGGUAAAUCAUCUAUGCUUAGUUAUCCCGAAAUGCUUACGAAAUGUACUUGUCUCAAUAAAGAAUUAAGCUCGAGGC